CGUUCGGUGCUAACUUUCCCUCACGGUCAUGGAACAACGUUCCUUCAUGGUCAAAUCUUUGGUUCUGGUGACCUGUCAAAUUUUGUGACUAUUGAUUACUAGCCGACCCACAUAACAAUUUUUGGUUCGCUGAAGGUUCCGGGAACGUUCGCUGCAGGUUCGCCGAAGGUUCUCUCCGAAGGUUCGCUCACGGUAGCGCAGGAAAGUUUUCUGAACGUUAGCCGAACCUUCCCUAAAAGUUCCGCGAACGUUCAGCGAACCGUCAGUGCAGGUUUGCAGUUCCUUCAGCGAACCUUCCCGGAACCUUUAGCGAACCAAAUAUUGGGCACUACUAGUAGUAAUAAUAAUAAUAAUAAUAGGCGAUGAUGAUAAUAAAAGUAGUAAUAAUAAUAAUAAUACUCCCAGAUGUAAUAUUGGCGACUUAUUCUUGCCACCUUAUAAGACAGGCUAUAUUCACAACACUAGAUUUAUAACGGUCAAUGAGCAGACGGCAUGUAAAAACAUGAAAUGUUUUAUUAAGUAUUCGCUGGAAUUGCAGACGAGAAUGAUGCACAAUUUAUUCAGGCGACACUUGGUUUCAAUCCGAGAGAAUCCGGGAGUCCUUCUGCCUUUGGAUGAUGGGUCUUUCAAUGCAGCUCCUGCGAACGAGAGAAGACAUGACACUAAAUCUGUGUUCUUUUCAAAUGCACAUCUUUGAGUUACCUGUUUUCCUUGGAUCAAAAAGCACACUGGAUUACUGGACGAGAGAUUGGCAGCAUCCUUGGGAGGACAACGAAAAUCAAAUGUCUUCAUGAGGAGGAAGGCCUGUGGGGUAAGUUCUGUCAAGGACUCCUAGAAGAUGCGCGGAUGUGAUCACAUACCAUGUUUACCUAGAAGAUCAGCUGCAGCAUUAAAACAAUUAGGUAAACCAUUUACAGGUAACAUUAGUCAGCUUAGAUACAGUUGUGAUGGAACGCACACACCACAGAUCUGGUGUCAAUAUGGUUGUAAAAUGCAUUGAAUGUAUUGAAUAGUUUAAUUGUG